rnacentral:rRNA from 1 species
UACGAAGGGACCUAGCGUAGUUCGGAAUUACUGGGCUUAAAGAGUUCGUAGGUGGUUGAAAAAGUUGGUGGUGAAAUCCCAGAGCUUAACUCUGGAACUGCCAUCAAAACUUUUCAGCUAGAGUAUGAUAGAGGAAAGCAGAAUUUCUAGUGUAGAGGUGAAAUUCGUAGAUAUUAGAAAGAAUACCAAUUGCGAAGGCAGCUUUCUGGAUCAUUACUGACACUGAGGAACGAAAGCAUGGGUAGCGAAGAGGAUUAGAUACCCUCGUAGUCCAUGCCGUAAACGAUGUGUGUUAGACGUUGGAAAUUUAUUUUCAGUGUCGCAGCGAAAGCGAUAAACACACCGCCUGGGGAGUACGACCGCAAGGUUAAAACUCAAAUGAAUUGACGGGGACCCGCACAAGUAGUGGAGCAUGUGGUUUGAUUCGAGGAUACGCGCAGAACCUUACCAACACUUGACAUGUUCGUCGCGACUCUAAGAGAUUAGAGUUUUCGGUUCGGCCGGACGAAACACAGGUGCUGCAUGGCUGUCGUCAGCUCGUGUCGUGAGAUGUUGGGUUAAGUCCCGCAACGAGCGCAACCCUCACUUUUAGUUGCCAUCAUUAAGUUGGGCACUCUGAAAGAACUGCCAGUGAUAAGCUGGAGGAAGGUGGGGAUGACGUCAAGUCCUCAUGGCCCUUACGUGUUGGGCUACACACGUGCUACAAUGGUAUCUACAACAGGAAGCAAGACUGCGAAGUUAAGCAAAUCCCUAAAAGAUACCUCAGUUCGGAUUGCACUCUGCAACUCGAGUGCAUGAAGCUGGAAUUACUAGUAAUCGUGGAUCAGCGUGCCACGGUGAAUGCGUUCCCGGGUCU